GAUGAAGAACGUAGCGAAAUGCGAUACUUGGUGUGAAUUGCAGAAUCCCGUGAACCAUCGAGUCUUUGAACGCAAGUUGCGCCCGAAGCCAUUAGGCCGAGGGCACGCCUGCCUGGGCGUCACACGUCGUUGCCCCCCCAUCUACUCCUUCGGGAUUGCGGGGGGCGGAUGAUGGCCUCUCGUGCGCCUCGUCGCGCGGUUGGCCUAAAUGCCAAGUCCUCGGCGACGCACGCCACGACAAUCGGUGGUUGCGAAACCUCGGUUGCCUGUCGUGUGCGGUCGUCGCGCAUCGAGGGCUCGAAAAAAUUGCCGGGCUUCGGCUCGACUUUCAACGCGACCCCAGGUCAGGCGGGGUUACCCGCUGAAUUUAAGCAUAUCAUAAGCGGAGG
rnacentral:misc_RNA from 1 species